UGCAAGUCGUACGCUUCUUUUUCCACCGGAGCUUGCUCCACCGGAAAAAGAGGAGUGGCGAACGGGUGAGUAACACGUGGGUAACCUGCCCAUCAGAAGGGGAUAACACUUGGAAACAGGUGCUAAUACCGUAUAACAAUCGAAACCGCAUGGUUUUGAUUUGAAAGGCGCUUUCGGGUGUCGCUGAUGGAUGGACCCGCGGUGCAUUAGCUAGUUGGUGAGGUAACGGCUCACCAAGGCCACGAUGCAUAGCCGACCUGAGAGGGUGAUCGGCCACAUUGGGACUGAGACACGGCCCAAACUCCUACGGGAGGCAGCAGUAGGGAAUCUUCGGCAAUGGACGAAAGUCUGACCGAGCAACGCCGCGUGAGUGAAGAAGGUUUUCGGAUCGUAAAACUCUGUUGUUAGAGAAGAAUAAGGAUGAGAGUAACUGUUCAUCCCUUGACGGUAUCUAACCAGAAAGCCACGGCUAACUACGUGCCAGCAGCCGCGGUAAUACGUAGGUGGCAAGCGUUGUCCGGAUUUAUUGGGCGUAAAGCGAGCGCAGGCGGUUUCUUAAGUCUGAUGUGAAAGCCCCCCGGCUCAACCGGGGAGGGUCAUUGGAAACUGGGAGACUUGAGUGCAGAAGAGGAGAGUGGAAUUCCAUGUGUAGCGGUGAAAUGCGUAGAUAUAUGGAGGAACACCAGUGGCGAAAGCGGCUCUCUGGUCUGUAACUGACGCUGAGGCUCGAAAGCGUGGGGAGCAAACAGGAUUAGAUACCCUGGUAGUCCACGCCGUAACGAUGAGUGCUAAGUGUUGGAGGGUUUCCGCCCUUCAGUGCUGCAGCUAACGCAUUAAGCACUCCGCCUGGGAGUACGACCGC
rnacentral:rRNA from 1 species